GAUGAACGCUGGCGGCGUGCUUAACACAUGCAAGUCGAACGAAGCAUUCUAACGGAACAUUUUCGGAUGGGAAGUUAAAAUGACUGAGUGGCGGACGGGUGAGUAACGCGUGGAUAACCUACCAUAUACAGGGGGACAACAGGUGGAAACGACUGCUAAUACCGCAUAAGCGCACAGUGCCGCUAGGCACGGUGUGAAAAACUCCGGUGGUAUAUGAUGGAUCCGCGUCUGAUUAGCUAGUUGGUGAGGUAAUGGCCCACCAAGGCAACGAUCAGUAGCCGACCUGAGAGGGUGACCGGCCACAUUGGGACUGAGACACGGCCCAAACUCCUACGGGAGGCAGCAGUGGGGAAUAUUGCACAAUGGGCGAAAGCCUGAUGCAGCGACGCCGCGUGAGCGAAGAAGUAUUUCGGUAUGUAAAGCUCUAUCAGCAGGGAAGAAAAUGACGGUACCUGACUAAGAAGCCCCGGCUAACUACGUGCCAGCCGCCGCAGUAA
rnacentral:rRNA from 1 species